UUCUCCUUUUUUUUUUUUAAGGGAGUGACUGAUUCUUUCGACUUGUUUUAUCACUUUUAUGCUGUGAAUAACCUGUGAUCCUAAUCACCAGUGUUAGAAAUAGGGAGAAAAGCUGUUUGUCGACUUGAAGUUUUCUCAUCUUUAGAAUAAAAGAGCUUUAGUAGUUGAUUUCUAAGGCUCCUUAUAGCUCUCACAUUCUAUGAUGAUGACUUCUCAUAGUGAUCAUCAAUCAACAUUCUAAAGGGUGAGAAAAAAAAAGAAUUGGCUAGAAACCCCAGAUUCUAGGAAAAUAAUAGAUGUGGGACACCAGGGUCCCCAGCCCCAAGAACUCCAUGCUAACCUACUGGAAGUCCUGUUUGCCCAACUUCAAAAAGGGCCUUUUAUCAGUGUUCUAAGAUCCCUGAGCUCCUGAUAAAAGAGACACAUUUAAAGUAUUCUAUUCAGUUCUGAGUACCACAUUUUUAAAAAGGAUGUGGAGAAACUAAACAGUAUCAUAUGGCCAGCAUGUCUGAUGGAGAUCAGUGGAAGGAAAAAGGAAUGUUUAGUUAAGAGGAGUCUUAGUAGAUGUGAGGAUUAGACAUGAAAUCUAUAGAUUCAAGUAGUUGAGGGGCUGUCAUCUGGAGGAAGGACAUAAUUUGUUCCGCUUGGCUACAGAAGAAAAGUGAGAGAAGAUGGAGAGAGCCUCCGUCACAGAAGGCUGACUAAUCAAGCAAAAAACCACACAGGUGCUAACUGUGUGACGUGGUUUCUGCUCUCACUGCAAACUUCUAAAGGUCGGAGACCUAAAUUUCCACAUUAGUACAAAAGCCACAUUGAAACCAAAAGUAUUUCAAUGACAAACAGAGGAACCACACAAAUAAAGUCACAAUGACGAUAGAACAGAGAA